rnacentral:rRNA from 1 species
ACGAACGCUGGCGGCGUGCUUCACACAUGCAAGUCGAACGGAAAGGCCCUGCUUUUGUGGGGUGCUCGAGUGGCGAACGGGUGAGUAACACGUGAGUAACCUGCCCUUGACUUUGGGAUAACUUCAGGAAACUGGGGCUAAUACCGGAUAGGAGCUCCUGCUGCAUGGUGGGGGUUGGAAAGUUUCGGCGGUUGGGGAUGGACUCGCGGCUUAUCAGCUUGUUGGUGGGGUAGUGGCUUACCAAGGCUUUGACGGGUAGCCGGCCUGAGAGGGUGACCGGCCACAUCGGGACUGAGAUACGGCCCAGACUCCUACGGGAGGCAGCAGUGGGGAAUAUUGCACAAUGGGCGGAAGCCUGAUGCAGCAACGCCGCGUGCGGGAUGACGGCCUUCGGGUUGUAAACCGCUUUCGCCUGUGACGAAGCGUGAGUGACGGUAAUGGGUAAAGAAGCACCGGCUAACUACGUG